rnacentral:snRNA from 1 species
AGCUGUGUGCUAUGGCAAUAUCAGUAGCCAAUGAGGUUUAUCCAAGGCACAAUUAUUGCUAAUGGAAACUUUUCCCAAUCAUUCCCUGCCAUGACGACUUGAAAUAUAGUCAGCUUUGGUAAUUUUUGACAAUCUCUACAGAGA